CUCCUUUCGAUUUUCAGACAGCCUCUCACUCUAUAGUGUAAUGCACCAUCAACCCAGCCUAGCCUAGCCCUAAAGGACGGUUGGGCUGAGGGGAUCACACCAAGUAGACUCAUCUGAAAACAUCCCUUGGGGAAAUGUGGUGCUCCCAGAGUAGAUGUCACUACGCCAUUUCAAAGGAGCUGAAGGAAGAUUGCUCCUGUGUGCCUUGCUUAAAGAAUUUACUGGACCAUGCGCUUCAAACACCCAACAUGAUCCGAGAGCAAUCAGCACAGUGACUGCUGGUAAGUAUUCAAUUCAAUUGCUUACAGAAUUAGAUUACACAGA
rnacentral:lncRNA from 1 species